ACUAAGCGUACACGGUGGAUGCCCUGGCAGUCAGAGGCGAUGAAGGGCGUGCUAAUCUGCGAUAAGCGCCGGUAAGGUGAUAUGAACCGUUAUAACCGGCGAUACCCGAAUGGGGAAACCCAGUGUGAUUCGUCACACUAUCAUUAACUGAAUCCAUAGGUUAAUGAGGCGAACCGGGGGAACUGAAACAUCUAAGUACCCCGAGGAAAAGAAAUCAACCGAGAUUCCCCCAGUAGCGGCGAGCGAACGGGGAGGAGCCCAGAGCCUGAAUCAGCAUGUGUGUUAGUGGAAGCGUCUGGAAAGGCGCGCGAUACAGGGUGACAGCCCCGUACACAAAAGCGCAUGUGCUGUGAGCUCGAUGAGUAGGGCGGGACACGUGGUAUCCUGUCUGAAUAUGGGGGGACCAUCCUCCAAGGCUAAAUACUCCUGACUGACCGAUAGUGAACCAGUACCGUGAGGGAAAGGCGAAAAGAACCCCGGCGAGGGGAGUGAAAAAGAACCUGAAACCGUGUACGUACAAGCAGUGGGAGCNGUGACUGCGUACCUUUUGUAUAAUGGGUCAGCGACUUAUAUUCUGUAGCAAGGUUAACCGAAUAGGGGAGCCGGAGGGAAACCGAGUCUUAAUUGGGCGUUAAGUUGCAGGGUAUAGACCCGAAACCCGGUGAUCUAGCCAUGGGCAGGUUGAAGGUUGGGUAACACUAACUGGAGGACCGAACCGACUAAUGUUGAAAAAUUAGCGGAUGACCUGUGGCUGGGGGUGAAAGGCCAAUCAAACCGGGAGAUAGCUGGUUCUCCCCGAAAGCUAUUUAGGUAGCGCCUCGUGAAUUCAUCUCCGGGGGUAGAGCACUGUUUCGGCUAGGGGGCCAUCCCGGCUUACCAACCCGAUGCAAACUGCGAAUACCGGAGAAUGUUAUCACGGGAGACACACGGCGGGUGCUAACGUCCGUCGUGAAGAGGGAAACAACCCAGACCGCCAGCUAAGGUCCCAAAGUCAUGGUUAAGUGGGAAACGAUGUGGGAAGGCCCAGACAGCCAGGAUGUUGGCUUAGAAGCAGCCAUCAUUUAAAGAAAGCGUAAUAGCUCACUGGUCGAGUCGGCCUGCGCGGAAGAUGUAACGGGGCUAAACCAUGCACCGAAGCUGCGGCAGCGACGCUUAUGCGUUGUUGGGUAGGGGAGCGUUCUGUAAGCCUGUGAAGGUGGCCUGUGAGGGUUGCUGGAGGUAUCAGAAGUGCGAAUGCUGACAUAAGUAACGAUAAAGCGGGUGAAAAGCCCGCUCGCCGGAAGACCAAGGGUUCCUGUCCAACGUUAAUCGGGGCAGGGUGAGUCGACCCCUAAGGCGAGGCCGAAAGGCGUAGUCGAUGGGAAACGGGUUAAUAUUCCCGUACUUGGUGUUACUGCGAAGGGGGGACGGAGAAGGCUAUGUUGGCCGGGCGACGGUUGUCCCGGUUUAAGCGUGUAGGUGUGUGUUCCAGGUAAAUCCGGUUCACUUUAACACUGAGGCGUGAUGACGAGGCACUACGGUGCUGAAGCAACAAAUGCCCUGCUUCCAGGAAAAGCCUCUAAGCAUCAGGUAACAUCAAAUCGUACCCCAAACCGACACAGGUGGUCAGGUAGAGAAUACCAAGGCGCUUGAGAGAACUCGGGUGAAGGAACUAGGCAAAAUGGUGCCGUAACUUCGGGAGAAGGCACGCUGACACGUAGGUGAAGUGAUUUACUCAUGGAGCUGAAGUCAGUCGAAGAUACCAGCUGGCUGCAACUGUUUAUUAAAAACACAGCACUGUGCAAACACGAAAGUGGACGUAUACGGUGUGACGCCUGCCCGGUGCCGGAAGGUUAAUUGAUGGGGUCAGCGCAAGCGAAGCUCCUGAUCGAAGCCCCGGUAAACGGCGGCCGUAACUAUAACGGUCCUAAGGUAGCGAAAUUCCUUGUCGGGUAAGUUCCGACCUGCACGAAUGGCGUAAUGAUGGCCAGGCUGUCUCCACCCGAGACUCAGUGAAAUUGAACUCGCUGUGAAGAUGCAGUGUACCCGCGGCAAGACGGAAAGACCCCGUGAACCUUUACUAUAGCUUGACACUGAACAUUGAGCCUUGAUGUGUAGGAUAGGUGGGAGGCUUUGAAGUGUGGACGCCAGUCUGCAUGGAGCCGACCUUGAAAUACCACCCUUUAAUGUUUGAUGUUCUAACGUGGACCCGUNCCGGGUUGCGGACAGUGUCUGGUGGGUAGUUUGACUGGGGCGGUCUCCUCCUAAAGAGUAACGGAGGAGCACGAAGGUUGGCUAAUCCUGGUCGGACAUCAGGAGGUUAGUGCAAUGGCAUAAGCCAGCUUGACUGCGAGCGUGACGGCGCGAGCAGGUGCGAAAGCAGGUCAUAGUGAUCCGGUGGUUCUGAAUGGAAGGGCCAUCGCUCAACGGAUAAAAGGUACUCCGGGGAUAACAGGCUGAUACCGCCCAAGAGUUCAUAUCGACGGCGGUGUUUGGCACCUCGAUGUCGGCUCAUCACAUCCUGGGGCUGAAGUAGGUCCCAAGGGUAUGGCUGUUCGCCAUUUAAAGUGGUACGCGAGCUGGGUUUAGAACGUCGUGAGACAGUUCGGUCCCUAUCUGCCGUGGGCGCUGGAGAACUGAGGGGGGCUGCUCCUAGUACGAGAGGACCGGAGUGGACGCAUCACUGGUGUUCGGGUUGUCAUGCCAAUGGCACUGCCCGGUAGCUAAAUGCGGAAGAGAUAAGUGCUGAAAGCAUCUAAGNGUCUCCUGAAGGAACGUUGAAGACGACGACGUUGAUAGGCCGGGUGUGUAAGCGCAGCGAUGCGUUGAGCUAACCGGUACUAAUGAACCGUGAGGCUUAACC
rnacentral:rRNA from 1 species